ensembl:lncRNA
CCUGGCACAAAGAUGAAGCUACUUCGUAUCCAAGAGCAACGGUGCUGUAAAUUCUAAACAAUCAACAAACACCUGACCUGCUGAGACACCACCCAUCGUUACAUUGAGAGGUGCCCAAAUCUUUCUCUCUGCUCUUCCGAAGUGAUUGACGCUGCUGAUCACCUGCUUGGUUUUGUUAUUGGGCACUAAUCACUUAGCUUUUUAUUAUCAUAAUUACUUUUCCUCUGGGUGGAGAUUGAAUUACAACAUGUCAAUGCCUUGCAACUCUUACUAUUGAUAUUUUUUAUUUCCAGCCGCCUGUCACUACUUAACCGUCCCCAGUGUUGCUAAAAGCAAUGGAAUUUUUAAGGCACUAUCUUUAGAAGACACCUCCUGACUAAAAAGAUGCUGUAUUUAUACUUGCAUUAUAAUCUUCAGUCCCUUCUUUUUCUGUGAGCAAUUAGAACAGCAGCGACGCAGGCUUUGUCUCCAGUGGCUCCUGGAGGAAAAGACGAAGCACUUCUCUGCGCACAUGCCUCACAGCUCCCCGUGGCACACACAGGUGGACACAGUGGUUUUGCUACAGCCCCGCUAAGUCCUAUUUAUUGCAGAUUCCACUUAUUAUUCUAAGGCAGUAGAAUUAGAUUUGGGUAAUAACAGAAUUACCUGAAGAGCUUUCGUAAAAACGAUUCCUAAACACCAUCCCUGGAGAUUCUGGGGUGAAGCCCUGGAAUGUGUAUUUAACAAGUAUUCAGUUUGCAAUCUGAAGAACAUACCACAACUGUGGUGCACAGACGGACACCUCGCCCCCGGUGAGCAGAAGACACAGGAAGAGGUGGGGGCUAUUCACUGAGCAGAAGAAUGCUGAGUGCAGCUUGUGUGGCUGACCCAUCCUGGUAACCAAGGAAGGAAAACCAAGACUCCUUUUACUUCCAUAGAUUCAAAAGUUGGGUGCUUCAGUUCUGGACUCAAAUUCCCAUUCACCAGAACUUUUUUACUGAUCACCUACAUAAGCCAGGAAGAGGGCCGGGCACUGGAGAUCCAUCGUUCAACAAGACAAUCAGCUUACCAUCCAGAAGGGUGAGGAAGACAGUAAGGAAGUAAAGGGAUAAAUACAUAAAAUGAUCAGAUGAUGUGUGUUACCAAGCAAAUGAUUUCCAUGCUAUGAGAUCCUAAGCAUCAUCUCUGAGACACGUGAUCAGAGAAGGCCUCUCCCCGGAGCUGAUUUUGAAGAGAGCCUGCUGUGCAAAGAGGGGGGUGGGGAUUGGUGGGGGGAGGAUUCAAACACAGAAGCUCUGAGACGGGAGCAGCGUGGAUUUUCUAGGAUCUUGGAAAGAAUGUAUGUGUGACUAGGGCCCAGCAAAAGGGAAGAAAGUGACAGAGGACAAGGUUGUAGACACCAGGGACCAUAGCUUGUAGAAUGCUUCUGAGGAACUUGGAUUAUAUUCUUUGUUUUU